CUAUUCUGGACAACCUCACUGAUGCCUCACAAGUCACAAUAACCUCAUAACUCGAGUUGAACUCGAUUUUGUGACUUUUUCGUAUUCUGGCGAAAACCUCACAGUCACAAGAACCUCAUAAGGUGAGAGCAGGUCACAACUCACAAAUUACUAGAGUUUUGAUAUUUUUUAUUUCCAUAAAUAUUUUGGGAACAAUUUUAAGA